AGCGAACGCUGGCGGCAGGCCUAACACAUGCAAGUCGAACGAACCCUUCGGGGUUAGUGGCGGACGGGUGAGUAACACGUGGGAACGUGCCUUUAGGUUCGGAAUAACUCAGGGAAACUUGUGCUAAUACCGAAUGUGCCCUUCGGGGGAAAGAUUUAUCGCCUUUAGAGCGGCCCGCGUCUGAUUAGCUAGUUGGUGAGGUAAUGGCUCACCAAGGCUACCAUCAGUAGCUGGUCUGGGAGGAUGACCAGCCACAUUGGGACUGAGAUACGGCCGAAACUCCGACGGGAGGCAGCAGUGGGGAAUCUUGCGCAUUGGGCGAAAGCCUGCCGCAGCCAUGCCGCGUGGAUGAUGAAGGUCGUAGGACUGUAAAAGCCUGUCACCGGUGAAGGUAAUGACUGUAGCCGGAUAAGAAGCCCCGGCUAACUUCGUGCCAGCAGCCUCAGUAACAC
rnacentral:rRNA from 1 species